rnacentral:lncRNA from 1 species
CUUAUACUUUCUACAAGUAUCAAAUUAUUUCAGCUGUACUUCUCAUCUGAACAGAAUUAAAACUCAGUACAAAUCAUUCUAAAUUUCUGUUCAGUAUCUUUUCUUCUAAAGGCAGAUUAUUGUGGGUUUUGUGGCAAAUAGAGGACGUAAAGCAGACUUCUAAUAUUUUCUGUUCUGUCCUGUGAUUCUAUUUUAUGUCUUCCAGACUCAGUUGUUAGUUUCUAAUUGGCUUACAGGAAAACAUUGGAGAGAUCAGUUGUAGUUCAACCGAGGGGAUUGUUUAGAAUUAUGUAGCAAUCAGUUGGUAAUUCCCAUUGCACCUGCAGUUCCUCUUGAUUGAAUUUCACUUGACACUUGCUGAGGAGAAUAAGUGGCAUAUUAAUAAACUAACCCUGUGAAUCUUUUCCAUGUGUGCUAAGAAAACACAAGCUCAGUGCUAAGCUCAAGAUGACUGAAUGUCUGAGGAAGGUGUACAAGUUAGCCAUGGACCUAAGCAAUCAAUGGGGACUCCAAGCAAUUUACAGCGCACACUAUGCUAAGCACCAUACUGGUUUACAGAAUGACAAGCAUCAACUUUUCACAGAAGAGUGCAAAUUUAUCUUGAUUUGCCUAACUCUGAAGUACUCAAUUACAAGGAAAGCUGCCAUUCUGCACCCUUGGCUGCAUCCUCAUGGACAGUCUGCAGGAAGAAGACAAAGCUACUUUUUUUUGGAUGCUAAUUAUAUACAUAUACACAGACAGAAACUGUCAAUAAAGCAUGAGGAAGAUGUAACAAAUCAAAGAAAGGAAUGUGUCUAGUAUUCCUGUCUCUGCUAUGAGUUUGGAAUGAAAGCAGGAACUAUGUUGUCUGAUAUCCUCUCUGCAAGCCAUCACUGAUUUCUGGUUCAGAGGAAUAUAAUUAAUUGUUUGAGUCUGCCACUUGUUUUAAUUCUGGAUUGUUACCAUCUAAUGCAAUUAGAGAGCUGAUUACAUACUUGCAGAUCUGUCCAUCAGCUUCCUUGAAGUCAGGAAGAACUGUCUGUAUGCCAUUCACUGCACAAUUGCAGACACAGUUUGUUUACCACCUACGUGCUGGUGACAGACUUGGAUCCAAAUAAAUUCCACAUUGACUAUCUGGUAGUGAAUAGA